CAAUAGCGUAUAUUAAAGUUGUUGCGGUAAAAAAGCUCGUCGUUGGAUUUCUGUUGAGAGCGACCGGUCCAUACCAUGUAUGCGUAUCUGGCUUGCUCUCGGCAUCCUCUCGAUAGACGUUACUGCGCUUGAUUGCGUGGUGCGGAUCUCGGGACUUUUACUUUGAGGAAAUUAGAGUGUUCACGGCAGGCUUUCGCCAGAAUACAUUAGCAUGGAAUAAUACUAUAGGAUCUUGGUUCUAUUUUGUUGGUUUCUAGAAUUGAGAUAAUGAUUAAUAGGGACAAUUGGGGGCAUUCGUAUCAACACGUCAGAGGUGGAAUUCUUGGAUUGUGUUGCGACGAACUACUGCGAAAGCAUUUGCCAAGGAUGUUUUCAUUGA
rnacentral:rRNA from 1 species